AUUUACAUUUGCAUAUCCACUGAUGUACCAUAUAGACAUAGUCCAACCAUAACCUACGGACAAUUAUAUCAGGAAAUUAGACUGGCACUGCAAGGCUAAUCAUUAAUUACACUGUAUCAUACACAUUUCAAUGUUGCUGAUGUGCACACCAUAAACAAUGAAGAUGAGGUCAGAGUACUGAUGUGUUUCUUCAAAAUGAGCUGCCUAGGACUAGGACUAGGCCAAAGCUCUGUGAUGAAACUUUGCAUCAAGGUUAGACGCUUCUAAUUGGGUCCUAUACAGUUUCCCAUAAUUCACAUAGCUACAAGGUUAUAGACACAGUAUGUUAUGUGUGAAAACAUUACAACAGGCUGAAGAUCACACCAUGAGUCCUAUCUUAUUCAUAAUAUCUUUACUGGUUAAGUUGGCAGAGACAGCUGAUAUCUACCCAGCAAAGCUCUUUGGAGCUAGUACCCACAUGAGAGAAGGAAAGACUGUUGAUGUGAAGUGCAGCACUACAGGCACCAGGAAACCGUUGAGCAAGGUCUAUGUUUACCUUUGCAAGAAUGGAAGUGGAAUGAGAGUAAGAGAGCUGGAGAAAGGUGAAGAUGACACCAUUUUCACCAUCAAGGAUGUUGAACGAGAGGACUCAGGCAUCUACAGCUGUGUGUACGCCAUAGAAAAACUAAAACUCAGUCAAGUGAACGCAACAGGUGUGAAUCUAGUCAUCAUUCAGGUCUACAAGGAUGGAGAAGGUAGGACCUACUUUGUGUUGUAUAUGGAUGGAUAAUCAAUUGUUAAUAUUGACUAUAUGGCAAGUUCCGUGUAAAUACGUACGUCUCUCUGUUCUGUACUUCAGAAGAGGUUCAUCAAGAGGUCCAUGAAGUGGCUGCACGUGAUGUGAGACUGGUCAAUGUUAUCCGAUUGAUAAGUUCAGUUGUUGUGGUGAUACUUCUUUUGUCUGUAAUGUAUGUUAGUUACUACUGUCCAAACAUAUAAUGAUCUGUUUCCUGGAUGACAUACAGUACACUAGUGAUGCACUGACAGAAUUACAAUACUAUUUUCUUGAUAAUUCUUACACGUAAUCUACAGUAGGCCUACAUUUCCCUGUGCUCCUCACUCAUGACACAAUUAUAAUUGAAUUUGAAAGAAUGUUGAUUGAACCUACCAGACUAGGUUGUUGUCGAUAUCAAUCAGGCCUAUGGUUUUGUGGGUGGGGUGGUGGGUAAAAUGUUCAAUAAACUGUACAUAAUUUAAUUAAUUUUGUUAAAAGAAUGUAUGGUGGCAGGCAAGUAAUAAAUAUUGUAUAUUUAAUUAUAAAUCUUCCUGCUGUCUGUGUUUUGAGUCCUGCAGACCAGAAAGUCACACAAUUAAAGAUACUUUUAGGGUAGAGAGAGUUAUC
rnacentral:lncRNA from 8 species